UUUUUACAACACACUUUUAGUUUUUGGUAGUUUUUAACUAUAUACUUUUACCAGAUGAAGGAUUUUAUCCAUUGGACUUCUGGAUCUUAAGUUAUCAGAGAAACUCUGAUUCUUAUUAUGAAACUGUUUUAUUUAGUUUUUUUUUUUACCAGAUUUAAUCUGUUUGUUUUUGAGAGGAGAAGACCUUUGCAGAUGAUUUGGUAAUUUUCUUUAAAAUAGUGGAGUAAUGGCGUCCUGAGCAGAUAACGAAGCCACGCCCACUCUGUGUGUGUUGUUCUGUUUUGCGCGCGCUUGUUAGUGCACGUGAGUUGCUCCUGCUAAAUCAUUGGCUCUCCUGACACACAGAGACCGCCCACUCAUAAGAUGACGCGGUGACAAGCAAUAUCACACCCGAAGUCGUGAUGUAUCCUCACAUUCAGUUCAUCAUUUUCAUCAUCUGGCUGGUCAACACAAAUAAUUCCGUGACUGGACUGUUGCUAAGCAACACAUAAACAUUUACCUGACCGCGCACUAGCUUUGCUACACUGUGUUCACGUUACCUCAGGUGUGUCCUACAGAGGUAAUGACCGUUAAUGUAACGCAAAUGAACGGUUAAACACCCGUAAAGCGGAGUGAUACAUGUUGUACUCAUCAAAUCAAAUUACUUGGUCAGGACUAACUUCUGUAAAGUACAUUAUGCAGCGGUCAGGUGGAAACGACCCUACACAAUUUCUUCCACGGAAAAAACCGCGGUUUUCCGCCUAAAAUGAGGUUCGACAAAGAAAGAAAUAAGACGCAGAGCACCGGGGGACACGGGGACUACCAGAUCAAAUCCCGCUCUGCCGGUCCACCUUCCAAACAUCCACGAAGUUUAUUAACGUGUUUACCGGCUCCUGGUGUCACUCCUGAUGCCGGGCGUGAAGGCCAAGGCUGGGUGUCUCUCCCAGUCGGACCGUGGAGCUAAUACUGCUCGUUUUACCAAGAUGGAGAACUCAGCUGGACUCAGAACUGACUUUUCUUCACAUCCACGCGCUAAACUGUUGCAGUUACAGAAGUAGUGCACUCAUGGCCUUCAAACAUUUGCAGGCUUUCAAACUUUUCUUCACUGACGGACUAAAAUGAGAAGAUUGUGUCAAUCAAAGCACGACUUUGGGAGGAGCAGCGAUGUGUGACAAGAUGGAGAGAGAGAGAGAGAGAGAGAGAGGGUGAUGGAGAUGAGAGAGGAAGAGCAGCGGCAUUACCUCACCUUGACACGUCCCAAAGCACACAAGCAGAUAGGAAAUCACCCCCACGCUGCCCCAUGACAGGAACCUCAUUCACCCGCCGACCGCUGAGCAGCAGAGGAAAUGCCUCAUGCCGCAUUGACCUAAAAACCACCAUCAUGUAGAGGUGAGGGCUCUACACCCCUCCUCUCUCAUACACACACACACACACACACACACACACACACACACACACACACACACACACACACACAGCUACACUGUUGGGACACUCUGGAAAUGAUUCGCUCUUUAUGGUCAUUUGUUGAGCUUUUUUUGUGUCACAGUGAGUGUGAGCAGUAAAAGAGGGUUAUUCAGUCUCCGAGCAGAUUUGAGACGACAUGAGUGAUAUACACAGUUUCAUGUCAGAGAAGUGAUGAGGAAAUACCAGGGUGAAGACCAAGUUUUUUUUUUUUUUUUUUGAGUACUGACGUGUUACUCUGAAGAAUUUCUUUAUUUUACAGGUUCUGUAUUUUCCACAACAUUUAAUUCCUCAUACUUUUCCAAAUGAUGCAGUUUUCAGCUGUAAAUUACAAGGAUAUUUGCAAGAAAGAAACUGAAGAAUAUGGUACUAAAUAUAAUUGCAUGUGAGUUUUUAAGAAGAAAAUUGGAAACUGUCGUAGGAGAGUGAAAGAAUAGUUAAUAAACCGACAUCAAUGUCCAUCUGGUAUAAUUUGUAGAUCACUUUAUUCUACAGGUCUGGUCUGUGGGAAUUAGGUAGAAAAAUGUUUAAGUAUAACUGCUGGGGGCGUGGACAGGCUGUGUUUUAAUUGAUGAUCCUCAUUUGAAAAACAAACCCCAACCUAAACGAUAUGGAAUAAAACAUUACUGGCUUAAAAUGUGACCAAGCAUUCGAUGCCAACUAGGUCUCGACUCAAAUCCCACUUGCACCAACAACUGAAAGAAAAAACCUCUUAGGGAUGAAAUGUUCUGGUAAACAAAUUGUUGUGUAGCAGUGUAAUUUGGAGAAUGGUGCAGAAGCACAUUCAGACUCGGUGUCAUUUGAAAGUCUUUGAUACUCCUGCCAAUAUAACACCUGAGUAUUAGUACCAAUCGCAAAAUGAUAUCAUACUUUAAAGAAUACAAAGUCCAUUUAGCACUAAAAACAAACAAGCAAACAAAAAUAAAUAAACAAGUAACUAAAUAACAAAAUUGUGGAUUUGACAUAGGUGAAAUAAACUUCAUAUUUAAUUUAGUUUAACUGUAAAAAAUAAAUAAAUUACUAAUUAAAAAAACAAGAACUUUGCCUCAGUGGAUUCAGUCUAAUUAUAAACUUAGGAGGAAAAAAAUGAUUAAUUAGAGAUUUAAACUGUUAAGUUGAUCUAAUGCAUCUGGGACCACCAAGUGACCAGGAUAGGCCCACCUGCAACACAGGUAAACUGAACAACCAAUGGCAUUAAUGUGCAUUUCUUGAUCCAGUUAGUUGUUCAGCCAUAUGUAAUGUUCUCAUAUUGGAUCAGGAUGAUUAUCCAAAUAUCUAUUAGAUUCAUCUCAUAUUAUUAUAUAUUUAGUUGUGCCUUACAUUAUUUAUUUUGUUUACCAGAAACAUAAAGCUAAAAUUCAAAGUUCACUUUGACUUGAACUUUGCAGCUGAAUAAACGAUGAGUCCAGGUUCUGGUUAUUUAGUAGCUGCUCUGGAG